rnacentral:rRNA from 1 species
GUUAAUGGGUGAUGGCGUGCCUUUUGUAGAAUGAACCGGCGAGUUACGAUUUGAUGCAAGGUUAAGCAGUAAAUGUGGAGCCGUAGCGAAAGCGAGUCUGAAUAGGGCGUUUAGUAUUUGGUCGUAGACCCGAAACCAGGUGAUCUACCCUUGGUCAGGUUGAAGUUCAGGUAACACUGAAUGGAGGACCGAACCGACUUACGUUGAAAAGUGAGCGGAUGAACUGAGGGUAGCGGAGAAAUUCCAAUCGAACCUGGAGAUAGCUGGUUCUCUCCGAAAUAGCUUUAGGGCUAGCCUCAAGUGAUGAUUAUUGGAGGUAGAGCACUGUUUGGACGAGGGGCCCCUCUCGGGUUACCGAAUUCAGACAAACUCCGAAUGCCAAUUAAUUUAACUUGGGAGUCAGAACAUGGGUGAUAAGG